rnacentral:rRNA from 1 species
CCUACGGGAGGCAGCAGUGAGGAAUAUUGGUCAAUGGUCGCGAGCCUGAACCAGCCAAGUAGCGUGAAGGAUGACUGCCCUACGGGUUGUAAACUUCUUUUAUAAAGGAAUAAAGUGAGGCACGUGUGCCGUUUUGUAGGUACUUUAUGAAUAAGGAUCGGCUAACUCCGUGCCAGCAGCCGCGGUAAUACGGAGGAUCCGGGCGUUAUCCGGAUUUAUUGGGUUUAAAGGGAGCGUAGAUGGGUUGUUAAGUCAGCUGUGAAAGGUCGCGGCUCAACCGUGGAAUUGCAGUUGAUACUGGCAGUCUUGAGUACAGUUGACGUAGGCGGAAUUCGUGGUGUAGCGGUGAAAUGCUUAGAUAUCACGAAGAACUCCGAUUGCGAAGGCAGCUUACUAAACUGCUACUGACAUUGAUGCUCGAAAGUGUGGGUAUCGAACAGGAUUAGAUACCCUUGUAGUC